UCUAUAUGCAGUGCCUUGCAUUUGUCAACCAUAAACUUUGAUGUAAUUCAACAGGAUGAAUUAAGACCAACACAAAAAUGUGCAAAAAUGAUAAAGUCCAGGAAUUAUAGGUUUGGGUUUUAAUAUCUGAAAGGGUCUAUUACAGGGCGCUCUGCGUUUCUACUGACUUGAGGUUGUCCAGUGGAGUUUAAGUUUAGUAAUUUUCCCGUUCUGCUCUUUACAUGCGGACUGACCGACUGAAUUGUGGACUCAGGGAGCCUUCAAUGAGCGACAGAAGUGACCACUUAUUGAGAAAUGGCGUGUGAAAAUCCCGAUUGACUUUGAUAGUGAUGCCGAUCUGAUGUGGACUGUGGACGGGUGUAAGCGGUGUGGCCAGCCCGGACAUCAUUUUGCAGAAGAACUUUCAGUCCAGAAACUCCAUUUUGGGUAACAGAUAAGAUCCCAUACACAGCACGACCUGGUAGCAACGUUGCUACAGAACUGAAAUCAAUUUUUAUGUUAUUUUUCCAAGAGGGGAAAAAUAAAAAAUAA